CGCAGGUGCAUUGUAGUCGCAUUGUCUGUCCAUCUUGAUUUCAGGCAAUACAACUGCAGUGCAAGCUCUG
rnacentral:pre_miRNA from 12 species